AGCAAACGCUGGCGGCAGGCCUAACACAUGCAAGUCGAUCGCGAAAGUUCUUCGGAAUGAGUAAAGCGGCGGACGGGUGAGUAAUACAUGGGAAUCUGCCUGGUAGUGGGGGACAACGUUUCGAAAGGAACGCUAAUACCGCAUACGCCCUACGGGGGAAAGGGGGGAUCGCAAGACCUCUCGCUAUCAGAUGAGCCCAU
rnacentral:rRNA from 1 species